rnacentral:lncRNA from 1 species
CCCUGUCUCUACUAAAAAUACAUAAAUUAGCCGGGCGUGGUGGCAGGCGCCUGUGAUCCUAGCUACCUGGGAGGCUGAGGUGAGAUAAUUGCUUGAACCUGGGAAGCGGACGUUGCGGCGUGAGCCACUGUGCCUGGUCCAUAUUUAGUAAAUUUUCUAUAGUGAAUAUGCAUUCCUUCUAUAAUUGGGAGGACAAAACUGAGGCAACCCGAGGUAGGAGGCAGGGACUGGACUCCAGAGGCAGGGGUUGGACACUGGACCAAACCAAGGACUGGCUUUAAAAAGCCCUAGGGCGGAAGCAGUUUUCUUUUGUUUGUUUGUUUGUUUGAGACGGAGUCUCGCUCUGUCGUGGGGCUGGAGCGCAGUGGCGGGAUCUCAGCUCACUGCAAGCUCCGCCUCCCGGGUUUACGCCAUUCUCCUGCCUCAGCCUCCCGAGUAGCUGGGACUACAGGCGCCCGCCACCUCACCGGGCUAGUUUUUUGUAUUUUUUAGUAGAGACGGAAUUUCACCGUGUGAGCCAGGAUGGUCUCGAUCUCCUGACCUCGUGAUCCGCCCGUCUCGGCCUCCCAAAGUGCUGGGAUUACAGGCUUGAGCCACCGCGCCCAGCCAACGGAAGCAGCUUUCUAUAAGACAUACCUAUCAGUGUGCCCUGUCAGUUUACCAUUGCCAUGGCAACACCCGAAAGUUACCACCCAUUUCCAUGGCAAUAACCCGACAACCCAGAAGUUACAACCCUUUUCCUAGAAAUGGCUGCAUAAACUGCCCCCUAUUUUGCAUAUGAUUAUAAGUGGGUAUAGAUAUGAGUGCAGAACUGCUUCUGAGAUGCUAUUCUGGGCACACUAUGGGGUAUCCCUGCUUGCUAGGAACAGUACCUCUGCUGCUGCUCUACACUGCCACUUCAAUACAAGUUGCUGUUUAACACCACCAGCUUGCCCUUGAAUUCUUUCCUGGGAGAAGCCAACGACCCUCCCUGGCUAAGCCCCAAUUUGGGAGCUUGCCUGUCCUGUAUCAAACCUACUGUUUCGAAAACAUGUCCUUUAUUCCCAGAUGAAUGCAGCUCUAUGUGUACAAAGUAUACUGAGAGGUGGUGGUGGGCCUCCUCUUCGUCCGCUCAGCCCAAGUCAGAAAAAGUGGAGACAGAAAAUAGACCUGCACACAAAUAUGACCAAUAUUCCUUCGCCCCAUCAAAAACAGCCUCAAUACUGGGAUUCCUGCUUCAACGCGUGUACAGACUCUUCUUAGAGGCAAUUCCUGUGAAUCCAAAGCUCUUGAGGAACAGGGAGUAAAACAGAAUGGCUAUUGUCUAGAGGCCUUCUAACUUCCACCUGGAUACAUUUACCCAUCUUGUUUUGGCAUAUUAAAAAGGCUUUCAAGGACAGGCAUAGUGGCUCACUCCUGUAAUCCCAGCACUUUGGGAGGUUGAGGUGGGAGGAUCACUUGAGCCCAGGAGUUUGAGACCAGCCAGGGCAACAGAGCCAGACCUUGUCUCCAUAAAAAGUAAAAAAAAAAAAAUUAGCCGGGGUUGUGGCGUAUCUGUAGUUGGUAGGCUGAGGGGGAAGAAUCCCUUGAUCCUGGGAGGUCAAGGCUACAGUGAGCAGAGAUCGUGCCACUGUACUCCAGCUUGGGUGACAGAGUGAGACCCUGCCUCUUAAAAAAAAAAAAAAAAGA